CACCGCCUGGGGAGUACGACCGCAAGGUUAAAACUCAAAUGAAUUGACGGGGACCCGCACAAGUAGUGGAGCAUGUGGUUUAAUUCGAAGAUACGCGCAGAACCUUACCAACACUUGACAUGUUCGUCGCGACUUUAAGAGAUUAAAGUUUUCGGUUCGGCCGGACGAAACACAGGUGCUGCAUGGCUGUCGUCAGCUCGUGUCGUGAGAUGUUGGGUUAAGUCCCGCAACGAGCGCAACCCUCACUUUUAGUUGCCAUCAUUUAGUUGGGCACUCUGAAAGAACUGCCAGUGAUAAGCUGGAGGAAGGUGGGGAUGACGUCAAGUCCUCAUGGCCCUUACGUGUUGGGCUACACACGUGCUACAAUGGCAUUUACAAUAGGAAGCAAGACGGCGACGUCAAGCAAAUCCUAAAAAAAUGCCUCAGUUCGGAUUGUACUCUGCAACUCGAGUACAUGAAGCUGGAAUUACUAGUAAUCGCGGAUCAGCGCGCCGCGGUGAAUACGUUCCCGGGUCUUGUACACACCGCCCGCCACACCAUGGGAGUUGGUUCUACCUUAAGGCAAGGUUUAAAACCCUUGACUACGGUAUAGUCAGCGACUGGGGUGAAGUCGUAACAAGGUAGCCGUAGGGGAACCUGCGGCUGGAUUACCUCCUUUCUAAGGAUGAUUAAGAAUUAUUUCUUGAUCUAAAUAAUAAACAGGUUAAUGUUGACCGUCCUCAUUUCUCUUCUUAAUAUGGUAUUUCUUUAGUUCUGCAUACGCGGGCCGGUAGCUCAGUUGGUUAGAGCACACCCUUGAUAAGGGUGGGGUCGAAAGUUCGAGUCUUUCUCGGCCCACCAUUUUAUUUGGGGGAUUAGCUCAGCUGGGAGAGCGCCUGAUUUGCAUUCAGGAGGUCAGCGGUUCGAUCCCGCUAUCCUCCACCAGAAACAUUUAGCUAUUAAAAUUGUGAAUAAAUAAAUAAUAUCAAUAUCUAUAUCCGAUUGUUCGAAUAGAUGAACAAUCAAGAAUGUUCGAAAAGAUGAACAUUCCAACAAAAUUUGAUUCAACACAGAAUUUUUUUCUG
rnacentral:sRNA from 1 species